UACGGAGGAUCCAAGCGUUAUCCGGAAUUACUGGGCGUAAAGAGUUGCGUAGGUGGCAUGGUAAGCGAGUAGUGAAAGCGUUCGGCUCAACCGAAUAAACAUUACUUGAACUGCCAAGCUAGAGGAUGAGAGAGGUUAUUGGAAUUCCUAGUGUAGGAGUGAAAUCCGUAGAUAUUAGGAGGAACACCGAUGGCGUAGGCAGAUAACUGGCUCAUUCCUGACACUAAGGCACGAAAGCGUGGGUAGCAAACGGG
rnacentral:rRNA from 1 species